rnacentral:rRNA from 1 species
CUACGGGCUGCUGCAGUGGGGAAUAUUGCACAAUGGAGGAAACUCUGAUGCAGCAACGCCGCGUGGAGGAUGACACUUUUCGGAGCGUAAACUCCUUUUAUAUAGGAAGAAGAUGACGGUACUAUAUGAAUAAGCGCCGGCUAACUCCGUGCCAGCAGCCGCGCGUAAUAAGGAGGGCGCAAGCGUUACUCGGAAUCACUGGGCGUAAAGAGCGUGUAGGCAGAUUAAAAAGUCAGAAGUGAAAUCCUAUAGCUUAACUAUAGAACUGCUUCUGAAACUCUUAAUCUAGAAUAUGGGAGAGGUAGAUGGAAUUUCUGGUGUAGGGGUAAAAUCCGUAGAGAUCAGAAGGAAUACCGAUUGCGAAGGCGAUCUACUAGAACAUUAUUGACGCUGAGACGCGAAAGCGUGGGGAGCGAACAGGAUUAGAUACCCCCGUAGUC